UCAAUUAUUAACUGUCCAUAGGUGUUCAUCUAGUCACCAUUGCCUAAUGCUCUGUCUAUUCAGCUACAAAUUCUAUGCGGCCCUAGUUGUUUAUUGGAACAAGUAUAGAACUCGCCUCUCCAGGGCAAUUCAGUCAGGAAUAAAUCUUUCAUAUAGGUUGCAAAAUCAGAAAUUUCAGCUCUGGUUACAGCAUGCCCGUUUAGUCGAUUUUGAGAUUGAAGAAGAGCAUUAAAGUCAACCCAGAUUAACCAAGGUGUGUUGAUCUGCGCUUCUAUAAACCUCGGCUCAUACCAUAAUAAUUUUCUUAACUCCACAGUAUUAAAUCCAUACACCGCUGUCAUACAACACUCAACCUUCUUGUCCCUGCUAGUAACAUUGCAAUGAAUAUACUGAGAGUAUCCAAAUUCUACCAUUAGUGGCACUUGAGUAGUUAUGCAUCAUACACCAACCAGGUACUAUUUUUAAGCUAUAGCUGUUGCAUUAUGAAUCUUUACUCUAGUUUCUAUCAAUCCAACCAACUUAAUACCCUUCUCCUUAAUGUAAUUGCUCAGUUUUCUCUGUUUAUACUUUUAUUGAUGCCCCUGGCAUUUCAUGUCAAACAAGACAUUUAAUGACUAGUGGAAGGUCCUCCCCCAUCUCUAGGAAGGUGUCCAUCUACCACCACAACAGUUGUAUCUUGUAAAUACAUCAAAACCAUUUUACAUAUUCAGCGAUAUAGCCUGAACAUAACUCUUCUUACCAGUGCUAGUACAACUUGUUGUUUACCCUUAGGCAUAGGGGUAAACCCAUCAUUUGUAGCUAUAAUAUCAGCAAGGGUGUGUAUAUCAAUAGGUCCUGUUUCCACUAGUUGCUGCAUCUCCUGGGCUUUCUGUGGUUUUGUUUGUUUAGGGAGCCAAGUAGGGAGCAAUUUAGGGACCUUAUGUUUUGGAGGUUGCUCCUGCUUAGGCUUGGGAGCAGGUUGAGGGUGUUUAGCUUUGGAACAAGAAUGUCCCACCAUCAUACAUGUGUCACAGUAUUUCGGCUUCCAGUCAAAAAAGUUUCUCAUACGGCAGUGGACAAUGGAAGGACUUUGCAAUAUUUAGGAUUGGAUGGAGAGAAGAGUUCUAUGGGGAUUGAUGAAUUAUUCAAGUCUUCAAUUUGAAAAAGAAUGACAAUUUGACGCCUGUCCAAGUUGCCUCAAUCUGAAUGUAGAUUAAUGUAGAUUGUAAUAAGUGUCAGCAACAUGUUGUUGCCUGUUGUUGGUUCUUCAAUUGUCCACCAAGAUAUAACAAUUGGAUAAUUGUAGAGUUUAUUUUUAUUUUUUUUCAAUUUAUGUUUGAAACAUAGAUAAGGUAAUGUAGUAUCCCUCUAACAAAUUUUUCUUCUAAUAAUUUUUAUAUAUUAAUUUUGUCCAAAAAAAAUGAAGAGUAAUAUUGAUUGCAAAGUA